GACAGAGGGUGCAAACGUUGUUCGGAAUUACUGGGCGUAAAGCGCGUGUAGGCGGCUUGGUAAGUCAGGUGUGAAAGCCCUCGGCUCAACCGGGGAAGUGCACUUGAAACUGCCGAGCUGGAGUCCCGGAGAGGAUGGUGGAAUUCUCGGUGUAGAGGUGAAAUUCGUAGAUAUCGAGAGGAACACCGGUGGCGAAGGCGGCCAUCUGGACGGUGACUGACGCUGAGACGCGAAAGCGUGGGGAGCAAACAGG
rnacentral:rRNA from 1 species